rnacentral:lncRNA from 1 species
GCUGCGGGAAGUUACGCCAGGGCCUCUGAAUGGGCGAAGGAAGCAUCUGCUGCUACCUGGUGUCCAGGCUGAAGCCAUGCUAGGGGCCCACGUGUCUGCAUGGAGGACAGAGCAGCCGCCUGGGGAAAAACAGAACAGUGGUGCCAGCAGGAAGAUUCUGGAGUAGCUUUGGGGUUGGCAGUUGGGCCAGGUCACAGAGGCAGCAAGCUUGAAGGGUGGCUUUUAGGGGGUCAUCAGAGGAGGAACAGACGCUAAAGGGCCUUUGAAAUCUGCUGAGGUCAGAACCCCCUUAGGCUGGAGGGUGCCCAGGACUCUCCAGGAAGUCUAGCAUAUGAAUAAUAACAGCCACUGUUUAUUGAGGUCACAAUCUAUUCAGGAACUCGCUAAACACUUUGUUUUUUUAUUGGGUUUCAUCUUCACAGCACCCCUAGGAGAUGGCGAAUGAGUCAGAGCUCGCUCGGUUAUGAGAAACAAACUCGGUCAAACCCCAAAUGCGGCGCCUUGGAAGUGUGUUGAGGCUGCUUGCAGUACUGGAGGGAGAAACACAGAACUCGAAAAUGGGAGCGGGUCACCCUCAGCCCAACUGACCUCUGUUUCCCUCUACAUGUGUCCAGGGAAACACGCCUGCCAUCUCCGAAGACUACCAUCAGCACCUGGGCUGGACCGAUGUGCAUUGCUUCAAGCCAACUGAAGGGAUAAGGAAGGGUCCCAGCCAGCUCUG